rnacentral:rRNA from 1 species
AGCGAACGUUUGCGGCGGGCCUAACACAUGCAAGUCGAACGAGAUCUCGGGCUUCGGUCCGGGUGAAAGUGGCGCACGGGUGCGUAACACGUGGGUAAUCAACCCUUUGGAUCGGGACAACCCGGGGAAACUCGGGCUAAUACCGGAUACGUCGUCGGAGCUCUAGGGCUCUGACGGGAAAGGCCUGCAAGGGCUACCAGAGGACGAGCUCGCGGCCCAUCAGCUAGUUGGUGAGGUAAUGGCUCACCAAGGCGAAGACGGGUAGCUGGUCUGAGAGGAUGAUCAGCCACACUGGAACUGAGACACGGUCCAGACUCCUACGGGAGGCAGCAGUGGGGAAUAUUGCGCAAUGGGCGAAAGCCUGACGCAGCCACGCCGCGUGUGCGAUGAAGGUCUUCGGAUCGUAAAGCACUGUGGGGGGAGAAGAACAAAGCUGGUGAAGAGCCAGCCCUGACGGUAUCCCCUUAGCAAGCACCGGCUAACUCCGUGCCAGCAGCCG